rnacentral:lncRNA from 1 species
AUCACAGAAUAACUGUUUAGAUAUCUCAUAUUUAACAGUUCGAUUUUAUUCUUCAUAUAACUCUUUUAGAUUAAGGAGUAUAGAAGGAAUAUCUAUGUCCUUAUGCUGCCUUUGAACCUCAUUAUUCAUUGAGGCAAGCAUGAUACAUUUGACAGUCACAUUGUCAUCCUUUUAUAUCUUAUAUGUGAUUCUUUCCUCCUCUGAUGCAUCUUCUCUGAUCAUAUCCGGUGCAGAUGAAUCAAGUAUAUACACUUUCUUCUGUGUGAGAACUAU